rnacentral:lncRNA from 1 species
UUACAAUUCACAUAGCAGUCCAAACCUCUCUGUCCAUCGGAAGCUGGUGAAUGAUAUUCCUAGACAAGUUGGAAGACCCAAGUCAACUAUCAAUAAUGAAGCAAAUUGUUAUGGCCCAUCCAUUUCUUAUCCACCCAAAAAAUAUCCUCCCCCUUUCUGUUCUUCAAUGCUAGUUUUGUCCUGACCAAGUGACCAAGACCAAAAGAAAAAACCCAAAACUGAUCUAAAUUCGACAGAGAAAAACCAAAAGCUAGAUCCAGAAAAUCAAACGAUGAAGAUCGGACCAUACCUCUUCUUCUUCUACUCUUCCGCCCUAGUCCUCCUGAUCCUCCUCCGCACCGACGCGGCUCCAGCGAACAGCAGCUGCGGCGGCGG